rnacentral:rRNA from 1 species
GACGAACGCUGGCGGCGUGCUUAACACAUGCAAGUCGAACGGAAAGGCCCUGCUUUUGUGGGGUGCUCGAGUGGCGAACGGGUGAGUAACACGUGAGUAACCUGCCCUUGACUUUGGGAUAACUUCAGGAAACUGGGGCUAAUACCGGAUAGGAGCUCCUGCUGCAUGGUGGGGGUUGGAAAGUUUCGGCGGUUGGGGAUGGACUCGCGGCUUAUCGGCUUGUUGGUGGGGUAGUGGCUUACCAAGGCUUUGACGGGUAGCCGGCCUGAGAGGGUGACCGGCCACAUUGGGACUGAGAUACGGCCCAGACUGCUACGGGAGGCAGCAGUGGGGAAUAUUGCACAAUGGGCGGAAGCCUGAUGCAGCAACGCCGCGUGCGGGAUGACGUCCUUCGGGUUGUAAACCGCUUUCGCCUGUGACGAAGCGUGAGUGACGGUAAUUGGUAAAGAAGCACCGGCUAACUACGUG